GACGAACGCUGGCGGUGUGCUUAACACAUGCAAGUCGAACGGAAAGGCCCUGCUUUUGUGGGGUGCUCGAGUGGCGAACAGGUGAGUAACACGUGAGUAACCUGCCCUUGACUUUGGGAUAACUUCAGGAAACUGGGGCUAAUACCGGAUAGGAGCUCCUGCUGCAUGGUGGGGGUUGGAAAGUUUCGGCGGUUGGGGAUGGACUCGCGGCUUAUCAGCUUGUUGGUGGGGUAGUGGCUUACCAAGGCUUUGACGGGUAGCCGGCCUGAGAGGGUGACCGGCCACAUUGGGACUGAGAUACGGCCCAGACUCCUACGGGAGGCAGCAGUGGGGAAUAUUGCACAAUGGGCGGAAGCCUGAUGCAGCAACGCCGCGUGCGGGAUGGCGGCCUUCGGGUUGUAAACCGCUUUCGCCUGUGACGAAGCGUGAGUGACGGUAAUGGGUAAAGAAGCACCGGCUAACUACGUGCCAGCAGCCGCGGUGAUACGUAGGGUGCGAGCGUUGUCCGGAUUUAUUGGGCGUAAAGGGCUCGUAGGUGGUUGAUCGCGUCGGAAGUGUAAUCUUGGGGCUUAACCCUGAGCGUGCUUUCGAUACGGGUUGACUUGAGGAAGGUAGGGGAGAAUGGAAUUCCUGGUGGAGCGGUGGAAUGCGUAGAUAUCAGGAGGAACACCAGUGGCGAAGGCGGUUCUCUGGGCCUUUCCUGACGCUGAGGAGCGAAAGCGUGGGGAGCGAACAGGCUUAGAUACCCUGGUAGUCCACGCUGUAAACGGUGGGUACUAGGUGUGGGGUCCAUUCCACGGGUUCCGUGCCGUAGCUAACGCUUUAAGUACCCCGCCUGGGGAGUACGGCCGCAAGGCUAAAACUCAAAGGAAUUGACGGGGCCCCGCACAAGCGGCGGAGCAUGCGGAUUAAUUCGAUGCAACGCGUAGAACCUUACCUGGGUUUGACAUGGAUCGGGAGUGCUCAGAGAUGGGUGUGCCUCUUUUGGGGUCGGUUCACAGGUGGUGCAUGGCUGUCGUCAGCUCGUGUCGUGAGAUGUUGGGUUAAGUCCCGCAACGAGCGCAACCCUUGUUCACUGUUGCCAGCACGUUAUGGUGGGGACUCAGUGGAGACCGCCGGGGUCAACUCGGAGGAAGGUGGGGAUGACGUCAAGUCAUCAUGCCCCUUAUGUCCAGGGCUUCACGCAUGCUACAAUGGCUGGUACAGAGAGUGGCGAGCCUGUGAGGGUGAGCGAAUCUCGGAAAGCCGGUCUCAGUUCGGAUUGGGGUCUGCAACUCGACCUCAUGAAGUCGGAGUCGCUAGUAAUCGCAGAUCAGCAACGCUGCGGUGAAUAAGUUCCCGGGGCU
rnacentral:rRNA from 1 species